GUGACCUCCAAAUCAGGUAGGACUACCCGCUGAACUUAAGCAUAUCAAUAAGCGGAGGAAAAGAAACUAACAAGGAUUCCCCUAGUAACUGCGAGUGAAGCGGGAAAAGCUCAAAUUUAAAAUCUGGCGGCCUUUUUGCUGUCCGAGUUGUAAUCUAGAGAAGUGUUAUCCGCGCUG
rnacentral:rRNA from 1 species